UGGGGAAUAUUGCACAAUGGGCGCAAGCCUGAUGCAGCCAUGCCGCGUGUAUGAAGAAGGCCUUCGGGUUGUAAAGUACUUUCAGCGGGGAGGAAGGCGAUAAGGUUAAUAACCUUGUCGAUUGACGUUACCCGCAGAAGAAGCACCGGCUAACUCCGUGCCAGCAGCCGCGGUAAUACGGAGGGUGCAAGCGUUAAUCGGAAUUACUGGGCGUAAAGCGCACGCAGGCGGUCUGUCAAGUCGGAUGUGAAAUCCCCGGGCUCAACCUGGGAACUGCAUUCGAAACUGGCAGGCUAGAGUCUUGUAGAGGGGGGUAGAAUUCCAGGUGUAGCGGUGAAAUGCGUAGAGAUCUGGAGGAAUACCGGUGGCGAAGGCGGCCCCCUGGACAAAGACUGACGCUCAGGUGCGAAAGCGUGGGGUGCAAACA
rnacentral:rRNA from 1 species